rnacentral:lncRNA from 1 species
UCCAAACUAAAAUUUUAAAAUUCGAAAAGCAUAAGGACUUAGAAUGAUCCAAUUAAAAAAUAUAGAUUAAAUCUACAGCUAUACGCAUAGUACAUAACUAAUAAUUGAAUUUAACCAAAUGAAUUUAAUUGUUACUAUUUAGAUUAGAGAUAAAAUUGAUCGAUUCAAAAAAUUAUAUACCAACUAAAAUUGAGCAAAUCAAAAUAUAAAGACUAAAUUUAUAACUUUCAUAAAAUAUAGAGACUAAUAACAGAAUUCGACCAAAGAAAUAAACAUUUGAAGAAUGUAAAUUAAGUGUUAGUUAAACCUUCAUUACCAAACACAAAUUAUAAUGGAUUUGAUGUCAAAAAUCAUGUCUUUGGUUGAGAGGAUAUAAUCUUAAUCUUGUCUAUUAAUUAUUGCGAAAGUAUUGGUUGUUUUUUGUACUCAAAAACUCUUCUCCAUUUUGGCUUACUCCAAUAUCCCAUCAACAUAUCAACCUCAAAAUUAGUUGGAUAACCGAAACCAAUGACAUACUUUUCAACCGGCUUCCUGUAAGAAAACGACAAGUCAUCAACUUGCCAUUGUAUUUUUUUUUGGAUAAGUUCUAAAAAAAAAAAUCGUUAGUAAUUUGAAAAAAGGGUUAAUAUAACUUUAAGCCCUUAAAGUUUGCAAUUAGGUCCUUUUUGGUACCUAUAUUUUUUUUAUCUACUUUUGGUACCUAAACUUGGCAACUAAGCUUAUUUAGUCAUUUUGGUCCAUGGACUUGACAAAUGGAAAAGUUUAAUGAUGUGGCAUUGUGCCACACCUUCAAACUUUGAUAGAAUUCAAAUUCAAGGACUAAAAUGGAUCUAGUUGUUAAGUUCAUGUAUCAAAAUGAACAAAAAAAAUAUAAGAACCUAAUUGCGAAAUUCAUGAGCUAAAAGUUAUAUAAACAAAUAAAAAAGAAAGAAAGAAUAACCAUUUAUCUCCAUCUUUUGCUUCUUUAUCUUUAAUUUUAGUAUAAGAUAGUAAUGAAUUAGGGUUUAAAUUAUUAUUAUAGAAUUGUGUCAGUUGGAUUAUAGGCAAAGUAACAAAUGAUUUAUGCUCAAAUCUUGAUACCAAUUUCGAGUUUAAUCCUAAAAUAAUCUCCAUCCCCUGUCCCUUAUUAAAAAAGGGAAAAAAACUUAAGAUUAAAUACACUAAGGGUUCUUAAACUACUAUCCAAAUUUUAAAUUAACUUCCAAGCUUCAAAAUAUUGUAAUUGAAUCUUUAAAGUAUUAUCACAUCAAUCAGAUCUUUUUGUAAAUCCAAUCAUCAACUUGGAUAUUAAAUGUUAGUUCUAAUUUGACAUAAAGUAUAUUUAAAAUACAUGAAUCAAAAUUUAAACACGCCUAACUUAAUUGCAUGGCAAGAGUUUGACAUGUUAAAUAAAUUAAAUAACCCAACUAAAUUUUAGGGUAAACUACAAGUUUAAUCACUUAUGUAUGGUUUAAAUUACAUUUUGGUCAUUGAAUUUUAAAAAAUUACUAUAUGAUCACUAACAUUAUCGAUUUGUUACGUUAUAGUCAUUAAGCCAUUACCUGUCGUUAAUGGUGUGGCGACAAUCUAAUAUGACUAUUAAAAAUAAUACCUUUCACUCAUUUUUUUUAUUUUUUUCUUUCUUUUUUUAUAUUCUUAUCCGGCCAACUCUAAAAGGCAUCAUCUUAAUCUCCCCACUCUAUGUUAUAUCAAACUUCCCCACCACCAUUGUUUUAUCUUGCAUCAAUUGAGGAGGACCGAGUUCUAAUCGGUGAAAAUUUAAAAGAGUCAAGUAGAAUUAAAAAAGUCAUUUGCUUUCAUCUAUUAUAAUUUGCACCAUCAAAGCGAAAAGAAAAGUUCAGUGUUAUAAUAAACGUCGAUAAUGGCGGUAGAACAAUCGCAAAGCAAAAAGAAAAGAAAAAAGAACACACAGAUUUUACGUGGAAACCCUUUCGGGAAAAAACUACAGGCAGAUGAGAAAAAAUUCACCAAUGUUGAAAAACGAAUAAUACAAUAAGAGUUUCAACUGCAGGGUUGAAAAACCCUUUUCUAAUCAAAGUCAAAUAGAAUAAUAAUAGUUCUAUAUGGAUUCAACUUGUGCUAUAUGGUCCGUUCGGCCCAAGGCCGUAGCCUACCACAAAACCCCUUAUUUUGCCUAUAAGAUUCGGGUCACACAAUCUCUAACAUUUAGAUUGUUGGAAUCUUGGUUCAUAAACAAAUUAAAGAGAAUCUUCCAAGAAGAAGAGGAGAUGAAUAAAGAAGUUAAUAAAAAAAACUAAGAGAAAAUAAAAAUGAACUAUGACUUCUCUUUUAACCAUAAAUGGCUAAAGGAAUAGACAAGCUUGCAAAGACUAUCUAUAAUAGUGACCAAAUUAAAGCAACUACAAUCACUCAACUAAUAAACCACUAUUAUAACAACUAUUUAACCGCAUGCUUAAUCUCUUAACACGCAUAACUAGCUUGAGUAGUUUUGAGCAAGCUUUCAACGUUGCUUUUCACAAUGAAUAACUAUCUCAAAUUAUUGGAGAAUUUUGCACAAUAAUUAUUUCAAAUAGGAGUAUAAGAUCAAUUUGUUGUUGUAAAACUAUCAUAAUUCUAAUAGUUAAAAUAGACGAUGAGGAUUGAGGCACGAACCAGAUCACUCUUUGAAGACAAUAUGCACCCUCUCAAUGGUAAUAAUCGGUACAGGUAAGUUUUAUUGCCUGUCAUCCCUCAAGAUAUAGUAAGCUCAAUCAUUCACCAUAUACAAUGCAGACAACGCAUAAGUUAAAAGGUAGAAGCUCCACUAUAAUUGCCACUUUCUUCACCCCUUUAAAUGAACUCUCAAAAACUUAAGAAGGCUUAAAAGAUUUUU